rnacentral:rRNA from 1 species
GACGAACGCUGGCGGCGUGCCUAAUACAUGCAAGUCGAGCGAACCAAUUGAAAGCCUAGCUUUCAUGAGGUUAGCGGCGGACGGGUGAGUAACACGUGGGUAACCUGCCCUAUAGACUGGGAUAACUCGCGGAAACGCGUGCUAAUACCGGAUAACACAUCAAAGUGCAUGUUUUGAUGUUGAAAGAUGGUUCUGCUAUCACUAUAGGAUGGGCCCGCGGCGCAUUAGCUUGUUGGUGGGGUAACGGCCUACCAAGGCGACGAUGCGUAGCCGACCUGAGAGGGUGAUCGGCCACACUGGGACUGAGACACGGCCCAGACUCCUACGGGAGGCAGCAGUAGGGAAUCUUCCACAAUGGGCGAAAGCCUGAUGGAGCAACGCCGCGUGAGCGAAGAAGGUCUUCGGACCGUAAAGCUCUGUUGUAAGGGAAGAACAAGUGCAGUAGUAACUGGCUGCACCUUGACGGUACCUUACUAGAAAGCCACGGCUAACUAC